rnacentral:rRNA from 1 species
AUGCCAAUAGCACAACUUGCAGAGAGAUUACUUUGCCAACGCAUGGGGGUGAUUGAUGAAGGGGAGAUGGUCACAGAAGCUGCCAUUGCGAAGUUUGCUGAUCUCUUCCAAGGCCAGCUGCCGGACAUCGUUGUGGCUGCGCUUCGGGCCCUUUUCAGGCUGGACUGUGACCUUCCCUCGGCAGUGGAGGACGCCCUUCUUGCUCAUGGAGGAGGCACUCUUCUGGAGCUGCAAGGACAAGGCAGGGGAGAAGAUGCGGCGACAACCUGA